CGGCGGACGGGUGAGUAACGCGUGGGUAACCUGCCUCAUACAGGGGGAUGACAGUUAGAAAUGACUGCUAAUACCGCAUAAGACCACGGUACCGCAUGGUACAGUGGUAAAAACUCCGGUGGUAUGAGAUGGACCCGCGUCUGAUUAGGUAGUUGGUGGGGUAACGGCCUACCAAGCCGACGAUCAGUAGCCGACCUGAGAGGGUGACCGGCCACAUUGGGACUGAGACACGGCCCAG
rnacentral:rRNA from 1 species